GCUUGCUGGUACUUUUUUAGGAUGAACAACCCAUCGAUGGGCUAACUAUUAGUAGUUUGAAGUAGGGUCUUUUUUAAACAAAAAUCAUAUGGGGUGGUCAUUGUAGACUAUCAAUUAGGACAGACUUAUUUUCAUAUCAUAGUUUUUUUUUUUUGUAUCUUAAAGAGAAAACUCAAUAGUUAAAUAGAGAUUGAAUUUUUCUUACUAACGAAAUCUAUUGAUUUCAUAACUGAAAAAUAAUAAAAAAAAUGACACACCC
rnacentral:lncRNA from 1 species